AGGGGAGCAUCAGCAGGGCCAACGUGCACGCGGCUCUGGAGGAGGUGGAUGAUGCUGUGCAGAGAGGGGAUGCGCUGCUGCUGCACCGCGCGCUGCAGGACCCUGCGCUGAGCCUCCCGCGCCUCCAGCGGGACGACCUGCAGCUCUGCCUGGAGCAGCUCCGUGUGCAGCGGCAGCAGAAGGCUCUGGAGCUGGGCUACGUGGAGCUGCUGGAUGAGGAGGAGGUGGCCGUGGGCAUCCAGGUGGCCAACGAGAGGGGAGAGGAGGAGCGAGCCACGCUGCGGGCUGUGAGCGCCAUCAACGCGGCCAUCCGGCGGGGGAUCCCGG